AGAGGAGGAGGCUGCGAGAGGCCGUGGUGGACGUGUACUUGUGCAGAGCCUGGAAAUAGCCUCACUUUAGAUGUAUGCACAUUCAAACGGUGGAUGCUUCCCGCCAUCCUUUUCCCCCUCUUUUUCCUUUUCCCGCCAUUCUUUACCCCCUCUUUUUCAAUUUCCCGCUCUUCUUUUCCCCCUCUUUUUCCCCCUUUUUCUCCCCUUUUCCCCCUUUUCUGCGAGAAGAUUAGCCCCCUCCUUGCGCAACGCCGCUAGCGCGCUCUGCUAGCAUGCUGUAGAUCUACUGCCGUACUGGUUCGCAUCGCUAUUUCUAAUAAGUAUUACUAUUACUUUUUAUUUUUUAGUAUUAGUUUUGGCUCAUAAUAGCCAUGGUUUGGCGGGUAUGCUAUGUUGCUGCUCGUCCAUUCUACUAACUGUAGUGUAGAUAUUAUAUUCCUUAUGCAAAGAGCUUUCCAGGUUUGUGAAAAUUGACCCAGAAUGUUGAAGUCACAAGUUUGUUGUUUUGACGUUGAAAAAGACUGAGUGGAGGAGCCCGAAAGUCUUCAAGUUAUGCUGGUCAGGAAGAAAUCCCACCCAAAGUCCGGGUACUGGUGAGCUGUGACAGCGCAAGGAUGUCCUGCCGAAGCAACAAAAAAUACUUUGUAUAAUUGGCACAUACUCACUGCUUGAUACUGACCGACGAUAAUAGUCCAAUAUCCAUCAUUGAAAGGGAUGAACACUGGAUUAUGCUGUCGAGGGGAAUCAGUCAUUGAAGGAAGCAACUGUUGUCGUUUCAUCCUGACCUGCGGCGCCUGUCACAUGGUUACAGUCACUGUCAGCCUUCUUCAGCUGUACAUAUCCCAUGCUGCUAUUCUGCUCAAGCUGUCUGUCAUCUUCAAUACCACCCCAAUACGACAACACCACUGGCAAUCUAGAACUCGCGGAGCAAGGCUGGAUCUCCGUCUGCUUUGGACGCUUCCUAGUGGUCAACAUCAUCAGUGCAAUGCUGGACUUUGCUUUGGGCUAGAAUGCUGCUGCAGCUGAAGUGGAGAUAUAGUGACUCAGUGCUGAGUGAUUUGGAUGCCCUUUCCCCGACUGGGCUGUUCUCAAGCAGCAGCUGGUUCCAACUGCAAUCAGACCAUUUGUCGGGUCACGGUCUGACAUUCACUUGGUAGCAUUGAAAGAAGAUGACGAUGUGUCCUUGCUCUUAGUGAAGUUCAGCCAUUGCCGCCCGGAUUGUGACGUUGAAGGUGUGGACCCUGCUGAAUUAUCCAACUCCUUCUGGACUUUGCAUUUCAAUGUCAGGUGGAUAGUGUACCAGCAAUACAACUUAGCCUGAAGUGAAGUGCAGUGCUAUUAAUUAUUGUUUUGCCACUACAAGUGUUCGACAUACGCAGGCCUUUUUUUCUCUACAUACUCACUUGCAGAUGUGCCGAGCCGCGGGUUUCGUUUGAUUUGAUUCUUUUCCAUCCUCUUUACUGAUUAGUGUGUGGUCCGAUCUGUGGACAGGCAGUGCUUUGACUCACAGAUGACAACAGU